rnacentral:rRNA from 1 species
GUGGGGAAUCUUGCGCAAUGGGCGAAAGCCUGACGCAGCCAUGCCGCGUGAAUGAUGAAGGUCUUAGGAUUGUAAAAUUCUUUCACCGGGGACGAUAAUGACGGUACCCGGAGAAGAAGCUCCGGCUAACUUCGUGCCAGCAGCCGCGGUAAUACGAAGGGGGCUAGCGUUGCUCGGAAUUCCUGGGCGUAAAGGGCGCGUAGGCGGACAGCUUAGUCAGAGGUGAAAGCCCAGGGCUCAACCUUGGAAUUGCCUUUGAUACUGGCUGUCUUGAGUUUGGGAGAGGUGAGUGGAACUCCGAGUGUAGAGGUGAAAUUCGUAGAUAUUCGGAAGAACACCAGUGGCGAAGGCGACUCACUGGCCCAAUACUGACGCUGAGGCGCGAAAGCGUGGGGAGCAAACAGGAUUAGAUACCCUAGUAGUCC